GAGUUUGAUCAUGGCUCAGGAUGAACGCUAGCGGCAGGCUUAACACAUGCAAGUCGAGGGGUAUAGUUCUUCGGAAUUAGAGACCGGCGCACGGGUGCGUAACGCGUAUGCAAUCUACCUUUCACAGAGGGAUAGCCCAGAGAAAUUUGGAUUAAUACCUCAUAGUAUUAUGGAAUGGCAUCAUUUUAUAAUUAAAGUCACAACGGUGAAAGAUGAGCAUGCGUCCCAUUAGCUAGUUGGUAAGGUAACGGCUUACCAAGGCGACGAUGGGUAGGGGUCCUGAGAGGGAGAUCCCCCACACUGGUACUGAGACACGGACCAGACUCCUACGGGAG
rnacentral:rRNA from 1 species